rnacentral:rRNA from 1 species
AUCAUGGCUCAGAAUGAACGCUGGCAAUAAACUUUAGACAUGCGAGUCAAAAAUUGUGAGAUUCUCAUAAUUUGGCAUACGGGUGCGUAAUAUUUAGGGAUAUACCUUAAAGUUGGGGAUAAUUAAAUCUGAGCAAUCAGAGAAGAUUGGUUGUAAAACCAAUGAUAAUAAUACCCAAUAAUUCAUAAAGAUUAAUCGCUUUAAGAUGUUCCUAUAUAAGAUUAGGUUGUUGGUGGGGUUAAGCUUACCAAGCCGAUGAUCUUUAGUUGAUCUGAGAGGUUGAUCAACCACAAUGGGACUGAGACACGGCCCAUUCUUUUUAUUAAGACAGCAGUCGGGAAUAUUGGACAAUGGGCGAAAGCCUGAUCCAGUUAUAUUGCGUGAGCUACGAAUAAGUUUAAAAAGCUCUUUUGACAAAGAAGAUGAUGACUCUUUGUAGAAUAAAUCCUGGCCAAUCCUGUGCCAGCAGCCGCGGUAAUACAGGAAGGAUUAGCGUUAUUCUUAAUAACUGGGCGUAAAGGGUGCGCAGGUGAUAUUGAUAAAUAAAACAAAAAAGCGAAGCUCAACUUCGAAAAAAAUUUUAUUUAGAAUUAUAUUUGAGUUAGACAGAGGAUAAUAGAAUUUCUAGUGUAGUGAUAAAAUACUUAGAGAUUAGAAGGAACAUCAAUGGCGAAGGCAAUUAUCUAGGUCUAAACUGACACUCAGGCACGAAAGCAUAGGGAGCAAACAGGAUUAGAGACCCUGGUAGUCUAUUGCUGUAAACGAUGAAUAUUAAAUGUUGGAAACUUAGGAAGUUUUCA